rnacentral:misc_RNA from 1 species
UAAACACUAUAAAAUGUAAAAAAAUAUUUUUAAAGAUGAUAUUUUCUAUAAAAUAAAAGAGCUUAAUCAUGUGUUAAGUCGUUUAAUGACAGAAAUUUUUUUUGUUAUUCUUAUAUUUCUCCUCCCUUUUCCCUGUCUCUCUUCCUCUCUCCUCCCUCUAUCAAUUGCGACAAUCAAUUAACAAUGCAGGAAAACCGGUGAUUCAAAAAGCUUUGUAAAUUAAAUUAAAGAUGAGUAUGGUGGAGAGGGAUAGUGAAUUUGUUGAA